rnacentral:ncRNA from 1 species
AUACAGGUGCCCCGCAGCAUAGUCGGGGUGAAAAGGGAAGACGGGUGAGAAUCCCGCACAAUGCCGUUGCUGUAUUGGCCGAGCGGCCGCCAAAUGUCACUGGAGCAAUCCGGGAAGGCGGUUGGCUGCGUUUGAGGUCUGAGUCAGAAUACCUGCCUGUGUAU